rnacentral:rRNA from 1 species
CAGUCGCCGCGGUAAUACGGAGGGAGCUAGCGUUAUUCGGAAUUACUGGGCGUAAAGCGCACGUAGGCGGCUUUGUAAGUUAGAGGUGAAAGCCUGGAGCUCAACUCCAGAAUUGCCUUUAAGACUGCAUCGCUUGAAUCCAGGAGAGGUGAGUGGAAUUCCGAGUGUAGAGGUGAAAUUCGUAGAUAUUCGGAAGAACACCAGUGGCGAAGGCGGCUCACUGGACUGGUAUUGACGCUGAGGUGCGAAAUCGUGGGGAGCAAACAGGAUUAGAUACCCCGGUAGUCCCUGUCUCUUAUAC